rnacentral:rRNA from 1 species
UUCACAACUACCUUGUUCAGAACUUAAAGAGAAAUCUCGAGUUUAUGGACUUCAGGGGGAGUAUGGUCACAAGGCUGAAACUUAAAGGAAUUGACGGAAGGGCACACCAGGAGUGGAGCCUGCGGCUUAAUUUGACUCAACACGGGAAAACUUACCAAGACCGAACAGUAGAAGGAAUGACAGAUUAAGAGUUCUUUCAUGAUUUAUUGGGUAGUGGUGCAUGGCCGUUCUUAGUUGGUGGAGUGAUUUGUCAGGUUAAUUCCGGUAACGAACGAGACUGAAACCUAUUAAUUAGUUUCCUGCCUAUACGACAGGAAUCUCCGCAAGGUCAGGUGCCUCGGUACCACUUCUUAAAGGGACACAUUUCAAUUGUCUCAUUUUAAUCGAUGCUCUGGCUCCGGUCAGAACUCUUUUAACGUGAGAAAAAGAAAAAGGAAGCAUUCAGCAAUAACAGGUCUGUGAUGCCCUUAGACAUCUUGGGCCGCACGCGCGCUACAAUGGAGUUACUAGAGAGUAUUUUAUCAUCCAAGCCUUAUAUUGUAGACUUUGA